GAACGCUGGCGGCGUGCCUAAUACAUGCAAGUCGAACGCACAGCGAAAGGUGCUUGCACCUUUCAAGUGAGUGGCGAACGGGUGAGUAACACGUGGAUAACCUACCUCAAGGUUGGGGAUAACAUUUGGAAACAGAUGCUAAUACCGAAUAAAACUUAGUAUCGCAUGAUACCAGGUUAAAAGGCGCUACGGCGUCACCUAGAGAUGGAUCCGCGGUGCAUUAGUUAGUUGGUGGGGUAAAGGCUUACCAAGACAAUGAUGCAUAGCCGAGUUGAGAGACUGAUCGGCCACAUUGGGACUGAGACACGGCCCAAACUCCUACGGGAGGCUGCAGUAGGGAAUCUUCCACAAUGGGCGAAAGCCUGAUGGAGCAACGCCGCGUGUGUGAUGAAGGCUUUCGGCUCGUAAAGCACUGUUGUAUGAGAAGAAUGACAUUGAGAGUAACUGUUCAAUGUGUGACGGUAUCUUACCAGAAAGGGACGGCUAAAUACGUGCCAGCAGCCGCGGUAAUACGUAUGUUCCAAGCGUUAUCCGGAUUUAUUGGGCGUAAAGCGAGCGCAGACGGUUAUUUAAGUCUGAUGUGAAAGCCCUGAGCUCAAC
rnacentral:rRNA from 1 species